rnacentral:rRNA from 1 species
UACGAAGGGGGCUAGCGUUGCUCGGAAUCACUGGGCGUAAAGGGUGCGUAGGCGGGUCUUUUAAGUCAGGGGUGAAAUCCUGGAGCUCAACUCCAGAACUGCCUUUGAUACUGAGGGGCUCGAGUCCGGGAGAGGUGAGUGGAACUGCGAGUGUAGAGGUGAAAUUCGUAGAUAUUCGCAAGAACACCAGUGGCGAAGGCGGCUCACUGGCCCGGUACUGACGCUGAGGUGCGAAAGCGUGGGGAGCAAACAGG